rnacentral:rRNA from 1 species
CAGUCGAACGCGUUGGCCCAAUUGAUUGAUGGUGCUUGCACCUGAUUGAUUUUGGUCGCCAACGAGUGGCGGACGGGUGAGUAACACGUAGGUAACCUGCCCAGAAGCGGGGGACAACAUUUGGAAACAGAUGCUAAUACCGCAUAACAGCGUUGUUCGCAUGAACAACGCUUAAAAGAUGGCUUCUCGCUAUCACUUCUGGAUGGACCUGCGGUGCAUUAGCUUGUUGGUGGGGUAACGGCCUACCAAGGCGAUGAUGCAUAGCCGAGUUGAGAGACUGAUCGGCCACAAUGGGACUGAGACACGGCCCAUACUCCUACGGGAGGCAGCAGUAGGGAAUCUUCCACAAUGGGCGCAAGCCUGAUGGAGCAACACCGCGUGAGUGAAGAAGGGUUUCGGCUCGUAAAGCUCUGUUGUUAAAGAAGAACACGUAUGAGAGUAACUGUUCAUACGUUGACGGUAUUUAACCAGAAAGUCACGGCUAACUACGUGCCAGCAGCCGCGGUAAUACGUAGGUGGCAAGCGUUAUCCGGAUUUAUUGGGCGUAAAGAGAGUGCAGGCGGUUUUCUAAGUCUGAUGUGAAAGCCUUCGGCUUAACCGGAGAAGUGCAUCGGAAACUGGAUAACUUGAGUGCAGAAGAGGGUAGUGGAACUCCAUGUGUAGCGGUGGAAUGCGUAGAUAUAUGGAAGAACACCAGUGGCGAAGGCGGCUACCUGGUCUGCAACUGACGCUGAGACUCGAAAGCAUGGGUAGCGAACAGGAUUAGAUACCCUGGUAGUCCAUGCCGUAAACGAUGAGUGCUAGGUGUUGGAGGGUUUCCGCCCUUCAGUGCCGGAGCUAACGCAUUAAGCACUCCGCCUGGGGAGUACGACCGCAAGGUUGAAACUCAAAGGAAUUGACGGGGGCCCGCACAAGCGGUGGAGCAUGUGGUUUAAUUCGAAGCUACGCGAAGAACCUUACCAGGUCUUGACAUCUUGCGCCAACCCUAGAGAUAGGGCGUUUCCUUCGGGAACGCAAUGACAGGUGGUGCAUGGUCGUCGUCAGCUCGUGUCGUGAGAUGUUGGGUUAAGUCCCGCAACGAGCGCAACCCUUGUUACUAGUUGCCAGCAUUAAGUUGGGCACUCUAGUGAGACUGCCGGUGACAAACCGGAGGAAGGUGGGGACGACGUCAGAUCAUCAUGCCCCUUAUGACCUGGGCUACACACGUGCUACAAUGGACGGUACAACGAGUCGCGAACUCGCGAGGGCAAGCAAAUCUCUUAAAACCGUUCUCAGUUCGGACUGCAGGCUGCAACUCGCCUGCACGAAGUCGGAAUCGCUAGUAAUCGCGGAUCAGCAUGCCGCGGUGAAUACGUUCCCGGGCCUUGUACACACCGCCCGUCACACCAUGAGAGUUUGUAACACCCAAAGUCGGUGGGGUAACCUUUUAGGAGCCAGCCG